AAAUUUGAAGAAUGUCAUUUAUGAUGUAGAUGAAGAUCUACAAACUUGGAAAAAAAUUAACUCCCCCCAGAGUAGUCAUGUAUGAAUUACGCAAACAUUGAUGAAAUAAAAAGUUUGAGCACCAGUCAUUGAAGAGGUUUAUUUAAGGGGUGAAAAUGAAGAUUGUAGGAGCCAUGGGUUUAACUGUUGUUUGUAUUGAGGUGAAUGAAUAUUGUUUUUUUGAUUUUAGUAUUGCUUGCAUUUAUACUGAGCAGGUAAUCACCUGGUGGGUCACGUGUUUGUGGGUGGAAUCACUGUAAUCACACUUUCUUGUGAUUAUAACACACCUGUUGAUUUUGCACUUGUAAGUUAAAGGGCUUUUAAGUUCUAAUGAUAAAAAGAUGAAAGUGAUGGUAUUUGGUCCUAGCAGCUCCUGUGACCCCUCCCUCAGUGGAGCUGGGUCCUUUGGCUCCACAUCUCAAACAGUCCGUGUCAAAUCUGGGUUUAGAAAUGGACAGUGAUUUGAAACUCAACUGUCACAUCAGCUCAGCUGUAAAAUCCAGAUUCUUUUAUCUGAGGCAGUUGGUGAAGGUGAAACCGUUUUUAUCUAAACAUCAAUUUCAGACAGUAAUCCAUGCUUUCAUCACAUCUCGGCUGGAUUACUGUACCUCUCUUUAUUUUGGAGUAAGCCACUCAUCCUUCUCACGCCCCCAGUUGGUCCAGAAUGCUGCUGCUCCGGUUCUGGUUGGAGCGCGUAAGAGGGACCACAUCAUGUAAUGUUUUUUAACGUACGACCCUUUGUUUAACUUAGGUCAUUUUACAGCAGCAUAUAAAUUAAUAAAACUUAAACUUCAAAUGUAGUUUUUUUGAUCGUGGUAAAGGGUAAUUAAAGGCUCUUAUAAGACCAGAUAGUCUUCAGUAUAUUUUCAUAAUCUCCAUCCAUCAUGCAGGCCUCGAUAUUUCUUGUGCAGCGUUGUUGGAGUUGCUGGAGCCUAUUCUGGCUAGCUUGAGGUGAAGGCAGAGAUCACUCUGGACAGCUUGCCCAUUCAUCACAGGGUCACAGUAAUAACCUCACACCCACUCUCAGUCUUCAGGGGGAGGAGCCAGGACUGCACACUGAAAAGACCCAGUCUGGAUUUGAACCAGAACCCUUUACCUGUGAGGGGACAGUGCUAACCACUACCCCACUGUGCAGACCUUUCUUGUUUCAAAAUAGUAGGAAAACGGAGUGACAUCUGAUCAAUAAACUGAAACACAGAAAGGUUAGAAAAUGGUCAACAGUUGGACUUCAGGAUGGUUGAUGCUCAGUUCUUCUGAAAACAUGACUGUGACUCUUGAACAAACCCCGGCAGAACCAAAAGUCCGGAUUCCUCCGCUGUGACCUAGUUGUUGAAAAAUGCCUUUAGUUGGGUUUGGUUGUAAGUCUGUGUUCAUCCCCGUCUCUCUGGGUGUGUUAAUGAAGCCAAAAAUGAAAGGAAUGAAGCAAAGACCAGUUUCUGUCCAACCUGUUGGGGGGGGAGCUUCAUAGAAAUGAAGUGACGAGAGAGAGGGAGUGUUGACUGGUAGAACAGGUUUAGGUGAGGUGGUCAAGUGAGCUUGACUCACUGUGGAGUGGAGGGAGCAGGCUGUUGUGUCAUUGCUUUAACACAGAGACGAAGAGCAAACAGCAAAGAGGACGCUCGGUGGAGAAACCAACCCAGAGGAAGAGAAGCUACGUGUGGACAGGUUCACCGCCCGCUCUGGUUGGUUGGUUGGCUCGCUGACUGGAUUCUGCUCCGCCCUCCACAAUGUCAUCCAACAUCAAUGUCUCUCUGGAUAAUCCAUAUGGUCAGGUGACCAUCCCAAGGGCAAAGCUCCGCCCCUCUGAUGAGGGCAGUACAGUAAUAGUAAAUCCAAUGGCUCUCAGCAGCAAUGAGAAAUCUUACACAGUUUCAAGCUCCGCCCACCAGGAGUCAUAUAUGGUGAAGGAGGAUGGGGGUGUGGACGAGGAGAGAGGGGGCUGUCGCGCCUGCUGCUACCGCUGCAGGAGGAGGAAGUGACAUCACCAUGGCCAGAGUGCAGUGACUGGACCAGAUCUGUAACUUUUCCACAGAAAAAAGAGUUUAAAAGCCAGAAGGGAACAACAGUGAGAGGAGGAAGCUACAGCAGGAGACCACUUUGUGUCUGCAAUCACCUUGACCAGAGCAUGGUCGUGACGGAGGCGGAGUCCAACGGCACGGCUCACCUGAGACGAGUUCUGGACUGAAAAGUCCAGUCAAAUAACUCUGUUUUAAAGUAAAAUUCUUCAAGGUGAACACAGCCAUGUUCCCCUGAACCCCUGACCUCUCUGACCUCUGCAGAGAUCUGUCCUCUUCACACAUUCAGCUACAAACCUUCAGACCUGCAGAACCUGGAGAAUGGACCUCAUUGAUCCUGUGUCCUCUGGUAUGUCCUUACAGAUCAAUGACAGCUUCAGACACAAAUGGCGAAGCUUCUUGGCACAGCUGUUGCCAUGACAACAGCUGAGUGACAUGUUGAGGACACACUGAGGACUGUCGUCCCUCUGGUUGUGAAAUACUCUCGUUUGUUCAGGUUUCUCUGCUCAGAUCUGGACCCAGUGCAGAAAUACAGAAGUUCUGACCCGGUUCUGCUAUGAAGUGCUUGUGUUUGAUGGACUCUAAUGUUGGAUUUUUGUUGUAAACUUUCUUCUGGUCUUUUUUUCAGUUUUACUGGAUGAAGGAAAUUUCAUUAAUGUUUAAAUUCUGAAAAUUUUGCUGAAGGACUUUGAGUGUAAAUUCUUCAGAUCGUGAAAACCAAUCAGGGAAGCUGUUCAAUAAAGUGAUUGUUCCUGUU